rnacentral:rRNA from 1 species
GAUGAACGCUGGCGGUCUGCUUAACACAUGCAAGUCGAACGAACUCUUCGGAGUGAGUGGCGGACGGGUGAGUAACGCGUGAGAAUCUGCCUGUGGGUCGGGGACAACCACUGGAAACGGUGGCUAAUACCGGAUGAGCCGAAAGGUAAAAGAUUUAUUGCCCACAGAUGAGCUCGCGUCUGAUUAGCUAGUUGGUAAGGUAAAAGCGUACCAAGGCGACGAUCAGUAGCUGGUCUGAGAGGAUGAGCAGCCACACUGGGACUGAGACACGGCCCAGACUCCUACGGGAGGCAGCAGUGGGAAUAUUGCACAAUGGGCGCAAGCCUGAUGCAGCAACGCCGCGUGAGCGAAGAAGGUCUUCGGAUCGUAAAGCUCUUUUCUUAGGGAAGAAAAAUGACGGUACCUAAGGAAUAAGCACCGGCUAAAUACGUGCCAGC